rnacentral:rRNA from 1 species
CCAUUGGAGAGUUUGAUCCUGGCUCAGGACGAACGCUGGCGGCGUGCUUAACACAUGCAAGUCGUACGGGAGCAGCAAUGCUCCAGUGGCGAACGGGUGCGUAACACGUGAGGAACUUGUCCAUCGGCGGGGGAUAGCCGGCCCAACGGCCGGGUAAUACCGCGUACGCCGGCGGGAUCGCAUGGUCCUGCCGGGAAAGCAGCAAUGCACCGAUGGAGAGCCUCGCGGCCUAUCAGCUUGUUGGCGGGGUAAUGGCCCACCAAGGCGACGACGGGUAGCUGGUCUGAGAGGAUGAUCAGCCACAUUGGGACUGAGACACGGCCCAGACUCCUACGGGAGGCAGCAGUGGGGAAUAUUGCGCAAUGGGCGAAAGCCUGACGCAGCGACGCCGCGUGCGGGAUGACGGCCUUCGGGUUGUAAACCGCUGUCGGGGGGGACGAAGCUCUGACGGUACCCCCAAAGGAAGCACCGGCUAACUCUGUGCCAGCAGCCGCGGUAAUACAGAGGGUGCGAGCGUUGUCCGGAAUUACUGGGCGUA